GAUGAAGAACGCAGCGAAAUGCGAUAAGUAAUGUGAAUUGCAGAAUUCAGUGAAUCAUCGAAUCUUUGAACGCAUCUUGCGCUCCUUGGUAUUCUGAGGAGCAUGCCUGUUUGAGUGUCAUUAAAUUCUCAACUACACUGACUUUGAAUUGGUGUGGCUUGGAUUUGGGGGGAAAAUUGUUGUGGGCUUUUUGUAUAGUCUGCUCCCCUGAAAUUGAUUAGCGGUACCUUUGUGGAACUGUCUACAGGUGUGAUAAUUAUCUACAUCUUAGACAUCUGCUGGAAUGCUGCUUUCUAAACCUUACUUGUAUUGACAAUCUUGACCUCAAAUCAGGUAGGACUACCCGCUGAACUUAAGCAAAUCAAUAAGCGGAGGA
rnacentral:misc_RNA from 1 species